AUUGAACGCUGGCGGCAGGCCUAACACAUGCAAGUCGAGCGGAGCGGCGGACGGGUGAGUAAUGCUUAGGAAUCUGACUGGUAGUGGGGGAUAACGUCCGGAACCGGACGCUAAUACCGCAUCCUCUCAGAUGCGCCUAGGUCGGAUUGGCUAGUUGGUGGGGUAAGGGCCUACCAAGGCGACGACCCGUACCUGGUCUGAGAGGAGGAUCAGCCACACUGGAACUGAGACACGGUCCAGACUCCUACGGGAGGCAGCAGUGGGGAAUAUUGGACAAUGGGCGAAAGCCUGAUCCAGCCAUGCCGCGUGUGUGAAGAAGGUCUUCGGAUUGUAAAGCACUUUAAGUUGGGAGGCGUUACCAACAGAAUAAGCACCGGCUAACUUCGUGCCAGCAGCCGCGGUAAUUC
rnacentral:rRNA from 1 species